rfam:Ictidomys tridecemlineatus contig010091, whole genome shotgun sequence.
UGGGGUAUAGCUCAGUGGUAGAGUGUUUGCCUGGCAUGCUGGAGGUACUGGGUUUCUGGGUUCAACCCCCAGCACCAAAA